UACGGAGGGGGCGAACGUUAUUCGGAUUUACUGGGCGUAAAGCGAUCGUAGGCGGAUUGUUAAGUUAGAUGUGAAAGCCCUGGGCUCAACCCAGGAACUGCAUUUAAAACUGGCAAUCUAGAGUGUUGGAGAGGAUGACGGAAUUCCAAGUGUAGAGGUGAAAUUCGUAGAUAUUUGGAGGAACAUCAGUGGCGAAGGCGGUUGUCUGGCCAAACACUGACGCUGAGGGUCGAAAGCGUGGGGAGCAAAC
rnacentral:rRNA from 1 species